GUGCAAUGCAGCUCUGAGCACAACGUAGCUCCUGCUUCAUCUCUGGGUGCAGCGCAGCUCUGGGUGCAAUGCAGCUUCGGGCACAGUGCAUCUUCAGGUGCAGUGCAGCUCUGAGCACAGUGCAGCUCCAGGUGCAAUGCAACUCCAUGUGCAAUGCAGCUCUGAGCACAGUGCAGCUCCUGGUGCAAUGCAGCUCUGAGCACAACGUAGCUCCUGGUGCAGUGCAGCUCCAUGUGCAGUGCAGCUCUGAGCACGGUGCAGCUCCGUGUGCAGUGCAGCUCCGUGUGCAGUGCAGCUCUGAGCACAGCGCAGCUCUAGGUGCAGUGCAGCUCCAUGUGCAGUGCAGCUCUGGGUGCAGCACGGCUCCAGGUGCAAUGCAGCUCCUGGUGCAGUGCAGCUCCAGACACAGCGCACCUGUGGGUGCAAUGCAGCUCCGAGCACGGCACACUUCUGGGUGCAAUGCAGCUCUGCUUGCAGCGCAUCUCUGUAUGCAAUGCAGCUCAGGAUGCAGUGCAGCUCUGGUUGCGUUGCAGCUCCAGAUGCAGCACGGCUCCAGAUGCAACGUAGCUCUGAGCACAGCACAUCUCUAG
rnacentral:lncRNA from 1 species